GAGUGAAGCGGCAACAGCUCAAAUUUGAAAUCUGGCCCUUGGGUCCGAAUUGUAAUUUGUAGAGGAUGAUUUUGGUGCGGUAUCUUCCGAGUUCCUUGGAACAGGACGCCUUAGAGGGUGAGAGCCCCGUACGGUUGAAUGCCUAGCCUCUGUAAAUCUCCUUCGACGAGUCGAGUAGUUUGGGAAUGCUGCUCUAAAUGGGAGGUAAAUUUCUUCUAAAGCUAAAUACUGGCCAGAGACCGAUAGCGCACAAGUAGAGUGAUCGAAAGAUGAAAAGCACUUUGAAAAGAGGGUUAAAUAGCACGUGAAAUUGUUGAAAGGGAAGGAUUUAUGACCAGACUUUUUCUGGGCGGAUCAUCCGGUGUUCUCACCGGUGCACUUUGCCCAGUUUAGGCCAGCAUCGAUUUUCGGAGAGGGAUAAAAGCUUUGGGAAUGUGGCUCCUCCGGGAGUGUUAUAGCCUAUUGUAUAAUACCUUUCCGGGGAUCGAGGUACGCGCUUCUGCAAGGAUGCUGGCGUAAUGGUUAUCAAUCACCCGUCUUGAAACACGGACCAAGGAGUCGAACAUUUGUGCGAGUGUUUGGGUGUUAAACCCUCACGCGUAAUGAAAGUGAACGGAGGUGAGAGCCCUUACGGGUGCAUCAUCGACCGAUCCUGAAGUUUUCGGAUGGAUUUGAGUAAGAGCAUAACUGUUCGGACCCGAAAGAUGGUGAACUAUGCGUGGAUAGGGUGAAGCCAGAGGAAACUCUGGUGGAGGCUCGCAGCGGUUCUGACGUGCAAAUCGAUCGUCAAAUCUGCGCAUGGGGGCGAAAGACUAAUC
rnacentral:rRNA from 1 species